rnacentral:lncRNA from 1 species
GCUCUCCUUUUCAGGGAACAGGGCUUGAGAAGCAAGGACUUAAAAGAUGGGUAGGACUUAAAAAGGGCACUUCAGUUGCAAAUGAAGGUCUAUCUGCCGGAACACUGGCCAUUCCACAGGACAGGUGACCACAAGAUCACUUUACAGCUUGGGAAUCGACAACCUACCAGACCACGUGGUCUCCAGCUCUCCAGAUCCAGCCACACUCACGGCCAACUGCUGCUUUAAAGUGUCCCUUCUUAUUUCUGUGGGUAUGUUACUGGGUCUUUCGGGUCACUCACCCACUAGACCACCUCCCCCUCCAGAGGGGUCCCCUGCCCCCCUAGAAAUUUGGUGGCUUGACAGUGCAGUGUGCUUUUUAGACAACUAGUUAAAACAGGAACAAGAACCCCCACAAGACACCCAUCUUCUGACUACUCAUGGAUAGAGAAGUUCAGCUUAUGCACAAAAGAAUCACACCAAUGAAGUUUUUCAACCUUUAUUAAUAUGUCAUCUAUUUUUAAAAAUAGUGAGACUGCUCCAAACAACAGAUGCAUGAGAGAUACCUGAAAAUUAAAAGGGCAAAGUAAUUACACUAGAUUCCUGUGAAAAUACAAACACAAACCAGUUUAGGACAACAAAUUCAAUCAAGAGGUAUAGUAUAGUUUGAAGCUACUUCUACUUCCCCUAACUUCAUCUGAAGAAAAAGGAGGAAAACGGAAAGGCAGAAGUAAAAGUCAAGCAAAGACGCCGCAGGGAUUUGAACCCUGUCCUGGAAGCCAGGAGUGCCAACCACCAGCAUCUUUUGCUUUUUUUUUUAAAGCUAGGUAAAGGCCAAAAAGCAAAACCUGAGAAAACAAAGUAUUUUGUUUUCUCAGGAAAAGAAAAACCUUUAAAUUUUAAGACCCUACUGAAGAGCACUGGAGAAUCUGCUUCAGCUAAGAUGCUAGCUUGGCCAAGUCUGUUAUGUUCACCUGAAAAAGUCUUAGCAGAGAGUUUUUGCAUUCCCACCCAACAGCCCUCAACUGCUAAAAUGCCUAUCUCCUUCAGUUUGUUUUCAGCACUGGACAGAAAUAAUGCUACACAUUUAAAACAUCUGAGAGCUUUUUAG